GAUGAACGCUGGCGGCGUGCCUAAUACAUGCAAGUCGAGCGAACAGAUGAGGAGCUUGCUCCUCUGACGUUAGCGGCGGACGGGUGAGUAACACGUGGAUAACCUACCUAUAAGACUGGGAUAACUUCGGGAAACCGGAGCUAAUACCGGAUAAUAUAUUGAACCGCAUGGUUCAAUAGUGAACGACGGUUUUGCUGUCACUUAUAGAUGGAUCCGCGCCGCAUUAGCUAGUUGGUAAGGUAACGGCUUACCAAGGCAACGAUGCGUAGCCGACCUGAGAGGGUGAUCGGCCACACUGGAACUGAGAUACGGUCCAGACUCCUACGGGAGGCAGCAGUAGGGAAUCUUCCGCAAUGGGCGAAAGCCUGACGGAGCAACGCCGCGUGAGUGAUGAAGGUCUUCGGAUCGUAAAACUCUGUUAUUAGGGAAGAACAAAUGUGUAAGUAACUAUGCACGUCUUGACGGUACCUAAUCAGAAAGCCACGGCUAACUACGUG
rnacentral:rRNA from 1 species